GACAUUUCUGUUUAUCCCUAACCUAAAUUACUGUUGACAAUUUUAAUCGAUCUGUUCAAAUCAGAUUAUUUAAUUAACUUAUGGCUAAUUUAAAAUCUUGUUUACAAAUAAUUCCGCUUAGUUGUUUGUUUAUUUUCUGUUAAUAUAUGAGUGUGUAUACUUGACAGAUUUGCGAAAAACUGACUUAAAUUGUUCGAUUAACUUGCCACAUAUGUUAUCUGGAACAGAAAAUUGUUCAACUAUGAAAGCGAAUAGCGAUUUACAGAAGCACAAUCAGGGGGAAAGUGUAGAUAAUGAACUUCCUGAAGUUUCCAGUCAGGAUAGGAGUAAAAAUGUCUGUCAAUCGGAAACCAAACCAGCAAAUAAUGAACAACUAAGCCACUCAAACAACAGCAAUCAGUCAGAUAUUUUAAAAGUCGAAAAAGUUACUUUAAAUUCCCCAGCUUACAUCAAGAAUAAUAGUAUUGAUGAGCUUUUACAAAAAGUAUCAUAUCAACAGAAUGUUAUUGAACAGAAUACUGAUACCAUCAGGUUUAUUGAGGAAAAAUGUGCAAAACUUGAAACAUUUCGAAAGGAUAUUGAACACAAACUUGAAACCGCAAUUAAACAGAAAGAUGCUGCUAUAAAGGAAAAAGAAAAUAUUGUUAUUAGGUAUGCAGUAGGCGAAAACAAUGUUUUAAAGGAACGCCAGCAGAAAGAGCAAGCCGAGAAGAAAUAUAAAGAUUUGCAUAAAGAAUAUGAACUACUGCAGCAUAAACUACAAACUAUGAUAUCAGAGAAAAGUAGAAUUUGUCAAAUGUUAGACAAUAAGUGUUAUGAGUACAAAAACGUUCAGUUGGAAUUUGAUAAGGCGAAGCAAGACUUGAACAAUCUAGAAACUAAAUUGAAAUGGAAUCAAAACAGUUUAAAAAAUGAAAUUGAGGCGCAUAGAGAAAUCCAAGCAAGGGCUGACGCUCUAAAUGCGAAGGUUCAAGAUUCCGUUAACCAAAUUGAGGCUGCUAAGAAAAGUGCCGAAGAAACCGUAAAGAACUUCAUGACUUCACAAGAAAAUAGGGCAUAUGUUUUAGAUCAGCAAGUUAAAGAGCAACAAGCAACUCUUAUUCUUUUGAGACAUGAAAAAUCUGAUAAAGACCAACACGUAAAAUCGUUGCAGUCCGAGCUUGAGCGACUACAGUCAAAACACAAAGAAAUUAUUGAAGAGAACAAUAAUUUAAGUUUGAAAGUGCAGCACCUGGAAAGAGAAAGAUUGGAGAAUGAACAAAAGCUAAGUGAACUUAGGGGAUAUCAGGAUUUGCAACGCCAGGAUGCCGCAAAUUUGCAGACCAAAAAUGUACAAUUCGAACAAGUGAAGUUGCAGUUAAAACACGAGGAAGAGCAGUUGCAGGCUGCAAAUGAGCAAAUUGAACGUUUAAAGGAAAGAAAUCAAGAAAUAGAAUCGGAUAUGGACUCUUGUCGAGUGAGAGAAGCAGAAUUGCUGGUUUUUACUCAACAAUUAACCGAUAAAAAUGUGAGACUACAAUCCGAAUUCACAGCCGUUGAGACAAAAGUACAGCAACUAAGUUGUGAGCAAACUGUUUUAAAGCGACAGCUUAAGGAGCACGAAACUAGAAUUUCUAUUUUAAAUUCAACACUUGAACAGGAAAGAUCUAAAAAUGCAACAGAAUCCGAAUCACUCACUAAAAAUUUAAAAGAAACGCAAAAUAAACUCGAUGUUGCAUUAAGAGAUGUUGCUGAUCAGCAAGGCGAAAAUUUAGUGAUGAAAAGAAAGUUCGAUUUAAGUAUGAGGGAAGUGAACAAAGAACUUCACCAUUGCAGAAGGAAGUUAGAACACUACGAGGCGGGUGAUUCGUCAACAAAUAGUAGUAACUCUAGCUCAUCCUUAAAUGUUAAUGGGCAUGCUCAAAAUUUAUGUGACACCGAACAUGUGAAAGUAAUACAACCAGAGCCAACCAUAGACAAGCAAACGCUCAUAGAGCAUAUAGUGAAAUUACAGCGAAUAAGUGCUAAAAAGUCAGAAAAAAUUGAUUUUCUAGAGGAGCAUGUGAAUAAUCUGGUUUCGGAAAUUCAAAAAAAGACUAAAUUAUUACAGGGCUAUGUAUUAAGAGAACAGGCUGGUACUCUCAGCUCGAACAGCAUGGAUAAUAAUAAAAAGAAGUUAUGGCGCAGUUAGCCAAAUUAAAUGGUGUUAUGGCAUCCCUAUACAGUAGCAGAGUAUGCGAUCAAAAUUUAACCCUCGAAUUAUCACUUGACAUUAACCGGAAGCUGCAAGCUGUUUUAGAGGAUGCGUUGCUGAAGAACAUAACGCUAAAAGAAAAUGUUGAUACGCUAGGAGCAGAAAUUGAUAGACUAAACCAAAUACUGAAGAAGUGAUUAUCAAUUUACUUACCUAUAUAUUAUAGAAAAAAGCAUGAUUACCUGUAUUUUACGUACCUAUUAAGAAUUCCAGUCAUUUAUUGUGAUCUCAUUAUCUUUAUAAUUAAAAUAGUAAAUCCAUACCCUAAAACAUUUCUUUCUUUAAGGUGCAUCUGUAACGAUCGGAUUUAAUUUCAAAGUGUAGAAGUGAUUAAAAUAUUUAAUUAAGUUAAA